UACGUAGGGGGCGAGCGUUGUCCGGAUUCAUUGGGCGUAAAGCGCGCGCAGGCGGCUCAGAGAGCCCGGCGUGAAAAGCCCCCGGCUCAACCGGGGGGAGGUCGUCGGGGACCUGUGGGCUGGAGGCAGGUAGGGGGAAGUGGAAUUCCUGGUGUAGCGGUGAAAUGCGCAGAUAUCAGGAGGAACACCGUGGCGAAGGCGGCUUCCUGGACCUGUCCUGACGCUCAGGCGCGAAAGCUAGGGGAGCAAACAGG
rnacentral:rRNA from 1 species